UACGACAGUUAUUUAGUUUAUAAUAUUUUCGCUUAGUAAUUCAUUCAAUAGUAUUUUCUAGUUAGAAUUAGAAGUGUUUAAAGUAUAUUCAUUGCAUGUAAAAUAUAUCGGCAUGCGAUGACGUCACAUCCGGUUUCGCCGCGUCUUGUGGGAAAACACCGGUUUGAAAUUAGCGCGAGGGUGGGGGCUUUCCACGAGGCACACCUGAGCACAAGCAGUUUGCAGGCAUGAGAAAUCACAGUGAGAGCAACGCUGUAAGUUAAUAGAUAAUCGAUAUAUUGAACUAAGAUGUUAAUGCUGAUCCUGUUAGAGGUAACGUCGGUAGAUAAUGUUUAUGCUUUCGUUAGUUAAAGAGUCGCGGAUAGUUUGCAUGGAAGUGUAUUUAAAGUAGUCAAUGGAGCAGGUAAACUCUCCCUGUAUACUGCACCUUAGUGUAAUGUAGUUAUAGUCACCUUUGCAAGUAUUUACACUUGAAAUGUGAUAUUAAGGAAGGAACAAAUACUGUAUCAAUCUUGUAUUGUUUUAUCAACAGUUUUCACCAUAUGUUAAUGUGAAGAGUGAACAGUAAAUGGUUAAUCUUACUGCGAUCUGGUUCUUAUUAACUGUGGUUUAUCCGGACGUUAAAUUCGGCGUUCGUUACACCCGAAGGAGAACGUGACAGUGAAAAAGCGGCAUUAUCAGGUGUUUCAAGUGCUGCAAUGUCAGCUCAAUCCAGCAUCAAGUCGACGCCGCCCAGCGACAAGGGCAGUAAACCGACAUCAAGUAAGCCCACCCAGGCGUUAUCAGGUGUUCCAAGUGCUGCAAUGUCAGCUCGAUCCGGGAUCAAGUCGAUGGCGCCCAGCGACAAGGGCUGUAGAACGACAUCAAGUAAGUCCACACAGGCAAGAGCCAAGGCAGAAGCCGCCAAGGUGCGACUGCAUUACGCCAAACAAGAGGCAGUUUUGAAAAUGAAACUGGCCACCAAAGAAGCCGAAAGGGCCGCCAGACAAAGAGAAGAGGCUGCCAGAGAAGCCGAAAUCCAGAAAGAAAGGGCCGCCAAAGAAGCCGAAAUCCAGAAAGAAAGGGCUGCCAGAGAAGCCGAAAUCCAGAAAGAAGAGGCUGCCAGACAAAGAGAAGAGGCUGCCAGACAAAGAGAACAGGCCGCCAGAGAAGCCGAAACCCAGUUGGAAAUGACAAAAAUAUUGACAGAGUUGCAUGUGCUGCAGCUAGAAAGAGAAGAAGCUGCUGCCAUGGCGGAAGCAAAGUACAUAGAAGAAGCUGAAGGGUCGCGUGAUCUGACCGCAGCAAGAUCUACUUUAGAAAGGACCAGACUGGAACGCACAAGCGACUAUGUACAAUCUCAAAUAGACAGGCAGGCUCGUCUCCCCUCUCCAUACGUAUUCGAUAACUUCCCCAGCUACGAGGAACCUCAGAGAGUCACGGUUGCAUCACAUCCAUACGAGGAAGGAAAUUUACCCUCACGGCUCCGUGAUGAAGUCAAGAAUGAAAGAACCGACAACGCUCCUUCACCCCCACAACAGGACGGCGGGGAGGGAGAGGUUCACUCCAGGACAACAAUUGUCAGCUCGAACUGUACAGAAGUUUGCGGUCAAACUCAGUCAAGCCGUUCUUGUUCCGAGAUCUGCCUCACUAAGGUGUACCCUAAAGGAGCCAAAGACAAGGCCAUCAAAGCCUAUGUGAUUCUGGACGAUCAGAGCAAUCGUUCACUAGUCAGUCCAGAGUUCUUUAAAUUGUUCAACGUUGAGAGUGAGCGGUUCCCAUACUACCUCAAAACUUGCUCAGGCAACAUGGAAACCCAAGGAAGGAAGGCAGAAGGCAUCCAGAUCGAGUCCCUGGAUGGUAAAGUCGUCAUCUGUCUCCCUCCGCUCUUAGAGUGCAAUGAAAUCACGAAUAACCGCGCUGGGAUCCCGACACCAAGUGCGGUGCUACACCAGCCGCAUCUCCACCACAUCGCCAAACACAUCCCAGAACUGGAUCCGAAAGCGAAAAUACUCCUGCUAUUAGGAAGAGAUGUUAUCCAGGUACACAAGGUUAGGCAGCAGAUCAAUGGACCACUCAACGCCCCCUUCGCGCAACGUCUGGAUCUGGGCUGGGUGGUGAUAGGAGAGGUGUGUCUCGGUGACGUACACAAACCGAUGGUUAACACACUCAAGACCAAUGUGCUAGAGAGUGGCCGCCAUUCAAUCUUUCAACCCUGCCCGAGUGUCCCGUGCAUCAAAGAAGCACAACAAGGCGUUAACAAGCGCGAGGCAAGCGACGAGUCGCUGGGCCAGACAGUCUUCGCUCUAACGAAGUAUGACAACAAACUUGCACAAUCAGCUCAAGAUACCAUUUCUUUAAAAACCAAAGACACCAAGGUCUUCAGAGAUGAAGCAAAUAAUGGGGUUGCCCCAUUGCCAAUCAGAGAACCACGCCAGCGCUCACCAGAUAACAAAGAGCAGGCAGUCAAACGGUUCACGUCCUUACGGAAAACCUGGAAAAGGAAACCUGAGAUACAGCAACGCACCCGAUUGGCCCACGAGGUACUGUGCACCCUAAUGGCAGAGGUCACAGCCAUUAUAAACGCACAAUCAUUCCUACCUGUGUCUUCCGACCCAGAAAACCCCUUUAUACUUUCGCCAUCAACGCUCCUUACGCAGAAGGCAGGAGCACCUCCUCCACCAGGAGACUUCUCAGACAAGGAUUUGUACACAAAGCAAUGGAGACAAGUCCAGGCUCUGGCAAAUCAGUUCUGGUCCCGCUGGAGACAGAAAUAUCUACCCUCGUUGCAACAGAGACGAAAGUGGACAGAACCCCGCAGGAAUCUUCAAGUUGGAGACCUAGUCCUGCUCAGGGACAAGCAAGUCGCUCGCAACAGCUGGCCAACGGCCAGAAUCACUGCUACAUUCCCUAGCGAGGAUGGACAUGUCAGGAAGAUCGAAUUGAAGACUAGGCGAUGUGAAAAUUUACCAAAGGCCAGUUACAGAAGUUAUUCUACUUCUACCCAAUGACUGAUUAAGAGACUAAGUUUUGUACUCUGCUCAUUGUGACCUUAUGAAGGUCAAGCGGGGAGUGUGCUGUCUUUACGACAGUUAUUUAGUUUAUAAUAUUUUCGCUUAGUAAUUCAUUCAAUAGUAUUUUCUAGUUAGAAUUAGAAGUGUUUAAAGUGUAUUCAUUGCAUGUAAAAUAUAUCGGCAUGCGAUGACGUCACAUCCGGUUUCGCCGCGUCUUGUGGGAAAACACCGGUUUGAAAUUAGCGCGAGGGUGGGGGCUUUCCACGAGGCACACCUGAGCACAAGCAGUUUGCAGGCAUGAGAAAUCACAGUGAGAGCAACGCUUUUUCACCAUAUGUUAAUGUGAAGAGUGAACAGUAAAUGGUUAAUCUUACUGCGAUCUGGUUCUUAUUAACUGUGGUUUAUCCGGACGUUAAAUUCGGCGUUCGUUACACCCGAAGGAGAACGUGACAGUAAGAUUGAGAAGUCUUGUGGCCUACUCCUGCUCCUGUAUCCUCAUGUUCUUCCAUGACCCUAACUGCUUU